rnacentral:rRNA from 1 species
GUGCCAGCAGCCGCGGUAAUUCCAGCUCCAAUAGCGUAUAUUAAAGUUGUUGUGGUUAAAAAGCUCGUAGUUGAACCUUGGGCCUGGCUGGCCGGUCCGCCUCACCGCGUGCACUGGUCCGGCCGGGCCUUUCCCUCUGUGGAACCCCAUACCCUUCACUGGGCGUGGCGGGGAAACAGGACAUUUACUUUGAAAAAAUUAGAGUGCUCCAGGCAGGCCUAUGCUCGAAUACAUUAGCAUGGAAUAAUAAAAUAGGACGCGCGGUUCUAUUUUGUUGGUUUAUAGGACCGCCGUAAUGAUUAAUAGGGACAGUCGGGGGCAUCAGUAUUCAACUGUCAGAGGUGAAAUUCUUGGAUCAGUUGAAGACUAACUACUGCGAAAGCAUUUGCCAAGGAUGUUUUCAUUAAUCAGGAACGAAAGUUAGGGGAUCGAAGACGAUCAGAUACCGUCGUAGACUUAACCAUAAACUAUGCCGACUAGGGAUCGGACGGUGUUAUUCAUGACCCGUUCGGCACCUUACGAGAAAUCAAAGUGCUUGGGCUCCAGGGGGAGUAUGGUCGCAAGGCUGAAACUUAAAGAAAUUGACGGAAGGGCACCACCAGGGGUGGAGCCUGCGGCUUAAUUUGACUCAACACGGGGAAACUCACCAGGUCCAGGCACAAUAAGGAUUGACAGAUUGAGAGCUCUUUUCUUGAUUUGUGGGUGGUGAUGCAUGGCCGUCUUAGUGGUGGGGUGACUUGUCUGCUUAAUGCGAUAACGAACGAGACCUUAACCUGCUAAAUAGCCCGCAUUGCUCCGGCAGUGCGCUGGCUUCUUAGGAGGGGACUUUCCGGCUCCAGCC